rnacentral:tRNA from 1 species
GCACGCGAAAACGGAUAGGUCCAGCCCUCCGAAGGCAGAGGCCACUGGUUCGAAUCCAGUCGGGUGCACCA